UGUUCCCUGAUGUUAGCGGCGGACGGGUGAGUAACACGUGGGUAACCUGCCUGUAAGACUGGGAUAACUCCGGGAAACCGGGGCUAAUACCGGAUGGUUGUUUGAACCGCAUGGUUCAGACAUAAAAGGUGGCUUCGGCUACCACUUACAGAUGGACCCGCGGCGCAUUAGCUAGUUGGUGAGGUAACGGCUCACCAAGGCGACGAUGCGUAGCCGACCUGAGAGGGUGAUCGGCCACACUGGGACUGAGACACGGCCCAGACUCCUACGGGAGGCAGCAGUAGGGAAUCUUCCGCAAUGGACGAAAGUCUGACGGAGCAACGCCGCGUGAGUGAUGAAGGUUUUCGGAUCGUAAAGCUCUGUUGUUAGGGAAGAACAAGUGCCGUUCAAAUAGGGCGGCACCUUGACGGUACCUAACCAGAAAGCCACGGCUAACUACGUGCCAGCAGCCGCGGUAAUACGUAGGUGGCAAGCGUUGUCCGGAAUUAUUGGGCGUAAAGGGCUCGCAGGCGGUUUCUUAAGUCUGAUGUGAAAGCCCCCGGCUCAACCGGGGAGGGUCAUUGGAAACUGGGGAACUUGAGUGCAGAAGAGGAGAGUGGAAUUCCACGUGUAGCGGUGAAAUGCGUAGAGAUGUGGAGGAACACCAGUGGCGAANGCGACUCUCUGGUCUGUAACUGACGCUGAGGAGCGAAAGCGUGGGGAGCGAACAGGAUUAGAUACCCUGGUAGUCCACGCCGUAAACGAUGAGUGCUAAGUGUUAGGGGGUUUCCGCCCCUUAGUGCUGCAGCUANCGCAUUAAGCACUCCGCCUGGGGGA
rnacentral:rRNA from 1 species